rnacentral:lncRNA from 1 species
UGGUCACCCUUUUUCCAACAGGAAAGGACAGGUGGCUGCUCCAGAUGUAGAAUAUCGCUCAUUUUUAUGCAGUCUUGGUACGCGAGCCUGAGUGAAGGGUUCAGGUUGUUGGUACGAUGCUUUGGGUUGGACAUGCAUGCGGUGUGCUCUCACCAGCCUGCAUCUCGAGCUCCUCCCUCAGACCCUGUGGUGCAGUGGACACGGAGCAACCUGCCUUUUCUACACACCAGCAAAUCACGUCCUCAUCCCAGGCAUCUUCCAAACGAUUUGUUCGGUGAAGAGCAACCACAACGAGACAAUAAAAACUGAAGAUUGUAGAAGCAGGAUGCUGUGCAACAGAGGUGCAUUGUGUCUGGAAUUUCACAGUUUCCUACAGGGGCAGAAACGCUGA